rnacentral:rRNA from 1 species
UAACUGAAGAGUUUGAUCAUGGCUCAGAUUGAACGCUGGCGGCAGGCUUAACACAUGCAAGUCGAGCGGGCGAGGUUGCUUCGGUAACUGAGCUAGCGGCGGACAGAUGGAGG